rnacentral:rRNA from 1 species
GACGAACGCUGGCGGCGUGCCUAAUACAUGCAAGUAGAACGCUGAAGAGAGGAGCUUGCUCUUCUUGGAUGAGUUGCGAACGGGUGAGUAACGCGUAGGUAACCUGCCUUGUAGCGGGGGAUAACUAUUGGAAACGAUAGCUAAUACCGCAUAACAAUGGAUGACCCAUGUCAUUUAUUUGAAAGGGGCAAAUGCUCCACUACAAGAUGGACCUGCGUUGUAUUAGCUAGUAGGUGAGGUAACGGCUCACCUAGGCGACGAUACAUAGCCGACCUGAGAGGGUGAUCGGCCACACUGGGACUGAGACACGGCCCAGACUCCUACGGGAGGCAGCAGUAGGGAAUCUUCGGCAAUGGGGGCAACCCUGACCGAGCAACGCCGCGUGAGUGAAGAAGGUUUUCGGAUCGUAAAGCUCUGUUGUAAAUCAAGAACGAGUGUGAGAGUGGAAAGUUCACACUGUGACGGUAGCUUACCAGAAAGGGACGGCUAACUACGUG